rnacentral:misc_RNA from 1 species
GAUGAAGAACGCAGCGAAAUGCGAUACGUAAUGUGAAUUGCAGAAUUCAGUGAAUCAUCGAGUCUUUGAACGCACAUUGCGCCCCCUGGUAUUCCGGGGGGCAUGCCUGUCCGAGCGACAUUGCUGCCCUCAAGCACGGCUUGUGUGUUGGGCCUCCGUCCUCCUCCCGGGGGACGGGCCCGAAAGGCAGCGGCGGCACCGCGUCCGGUCCUCGAGCGUAUGGGGCUUCGUCACCCGCUCUUGUAGGCCCGGUCGGCGCUUGCCGACACAUCAAUCUUUUUUCCAGGUUGACCUCGGAUCAGGUAGGGAUACCCGCUGAACUUAAGCAUAUCAAUAAGCGGAGGA